GACGAACGUUGGCGGCGUGCUUAACACAUGCAAGUCGAACGGAAAGGCCCUGCUUUUGUGGGGUGCUCGAGUGGCGAACGGGUGAGUAACACGUGAGUAACCUGCCCUUGACUUUGGGAUAACUUCAGGAAACUGGGGCUAAUACCGGAUAGGAGCUCCUGCUGCAUGGUGGGGGUUGGAAAGUUUCGGCGGUUGGGGAUGGACUCGCGGCUUAUCAGCUUGUUGGUGGGGUAGUGGCUUACCAAGGCUUUGACGGGUAGCCGGCCUGAGAGGGUGACCGGCCACAUUGGGACUGAGAUACGGCCCAGACUCCUACGGGAGGCAGCAGUGGGGAAUAUUGCACAAUGGGCGGAAGCCUGAUGCAGCAACGCCGCGUGCGGGAUGACGGCCUUCGGGUUGUAAACCGCUUUCGCCUGUGACGAAGCGUGAGUGACGGUAAUGGGUAAAGAAGCACCGGCUAACUACGUGCCAGCAGCCGCGGUGAUACGUAGGGUGCGAGCGUUGUCCGGAUUUAUUGGGCGUAAAGGGCUCGUAGGUGGUUGAUCGCGUCGGAAGUGUAAUCUUGGGGCUUAACCCUGAGCGUGCUUUCGAUACGGGUUGACUUGAGGAAGGUAGGGGAGAAUGGAAUUCCUGGUGGAGCGGUGGAAUGCGCAGAUAUCAGGAGGAACACCAGUGGCGAAGGCGGUUCUCUGGGCCUUUCCUGACGCUGAGGAGCGAAAGCGUGGGGAGCGAACAGGCUUAGAUACCCUGGUAGUCCACGCUGUAAACGGUGGGUACUAGGUGUGGGGUCCAUUCCACGGGUUCCGUGCCGUAGCUAACGCUUUAAGUACCCCGCCUGGGGAGUACGGCCGCAAGGCUAAAACUCAAAGGAAUUGACGGGGCCCCGCACAAGCGGCGGAGCAUGCGGAUUAAUUCGAUGCAACGCGUAGAACCUUACCUGGGUUUGACAUGGAUCGGGAGUGCUCAGAGAUGGGUGUGCCUCUUUUGGGGUCGGUUCACAGGUGGUGCAUGCCUGUCGUCAGCUCGUGUCGUGAGAUGUUGGGUUAAGUCCCGCAACGAGCGCAACCCUUGUUCACUGUUGCCAGCACGUUAUGGUGGGGACUCAGUGGAGACCGCCGGGGUCAACUCGGAGGAAGGUGGGGAUGACGUCAAGUCAUCAUGCCCCUUAUGUCCAGGGCUUCACGCAUGCUACAAUGGCUGGUACAGAGAGUGGCGAGCCUGUGAGGGUGAGCGAAUCUCGGAAAGCCGGUCUCAGUUCGGAUUGGGGUCUGCAACUCGACCUCAUGAAGUCGGAGUCGCUAGUAAUCGCAGAUCAGCAACGCUGCGGUGAAUACGUUCCCGGGGGCU
rnacentral:rRNA from 1 species